rnacentral:rRNA from 1 species
GGACAGAAGGGAGCUUGCUCCUGGAUGUUAGCGGCGGACGGGUGAGUAACACGUGGGUAACCUGCCUGUAAGACUGGGAUAACUCCGGGAAACCGGAGCUAAUACCGGAUAGUUCCUUGAACCGCAUGGUUCAAGGAUGAAAGACGGUUUCGGCUGUCACUUACAGAUGGACCCGCGGCGCAUUAGCUAGUUGGUGAGGUAACGGCUCACCAAGGCGACGAUGCGUAGCCGACCUGAGAGGGUGAUCGGCCACACUGGGACUGAGACACGGCCCAGACUCCUACGGGAGGCAGCAGUAGGGAAUCUUCCGCAAUGGACGAAAGUCUGACGGAGCAACGCCGCGUGAGUGAUGAAGGUUUUCGGAUCGUAAAGCUCUGUUGUUAGGGAAGAACAAGUGCAAGAGUAACUGCUUGCACCUUGACGGUACCUAACCAGAAAGCCACGGCUAACUACGUGCCAGCAGCCGCGGUAAUACGUAGGUGGCAAGCGUUGUCCGGAAUUAUUGGGCGUAAAGGGCUCGCAGGCGGUUUCUUAAGUCUGAUGUGAAAGCCCCCGGCUCAACCGGGGAGGGUCAUUGGAAACUGGGAAACUUGAGUGCAGAAGAGGAGAGUGGAAUUCCACGUGUAGCGGUGAAAUGCGUAGAGAUGUGGAGGAACACCAGUGGCGAAGGCGACUCUCUGGUCUGUAACUGACGCUGAGGAGCGAAAGCGUGGGGAGCGAACAGGAUUAGAUACCCUGGUAGUCCACGCCAUAACGAUGAGUGCUAAGUGUUAGGGGGUUUCCGCCCCUUAGUGCUGCAGCUCACGCACUAAGCACUCCGCCCGGGGAGUACGGUCGCAAGACUGAUACUCAUAUGAAUUGACGGGC